CUUUUUAAGUUCUAGUGGCGGACGGGUGAGUAACGCGUGAGAAUUUACCUCUAGGAGGGGAACAACAGUUAGAAAUGACUGCUAAUGCCCCAUAUGCUUUAUAGUGAAACGGAUUCGUCCGCCUGGAGCAAAGCUCGCGUCUGAUUAGCUAGUUGGUAAGGUAAUAGCUUACCAAGGCGACGAUCAGUAGCUGGUUUGAGAGGAUGAUCAGCCACACU
rnacentral:rRNA from 1 species